GCGGAUAAGGCCACUCUCCGUGUGUUACAUUUCUACCAGCAAUUAUCAGUUGUUGCAUGUUCCUCCGCUCUACAAUCGCAACCGGAGUUGUGGCUGCUUCUUUCUCUGCGCGAUGGAGCCGCUUCGUACCCUAUGCCUAUAAUUUGAAUGGCAUUCAUAAAUUUAAAUUAGCUUCGAUUACUGGUUGGGCGUCUGGAAGCAAACUGGAUUUUCUCACCAACAGCAUGCCGGCCUAUGGCUAGCAGGACUGACAACAACCGGGGUCACACGUGGUUGCGAAUACAAGGAUAUGCCUCGCAACGCGAACGGGGCCCAUUUUAAAUCGGAUCACCGGAGCAAUAUUCAAAUCGCAGAAGUUGUGCCUUAGACAAGAUCAGAUCAAGUG